GACGAACGCUGGCGGCGUGCUUAACACAUGCAAGUCGAACGGAAAGGCCCUGCUUUUGUGGGGUGCUCGAGUGGCGAACGGGUGAGUAACACGUGAGUAACCUGCCCUUGACUUUGGGAUAACUUCAGGGAACAGGGGCUAAUAUCGGGGAGGAUCUCCUGCUGCAUGUGGGGGGUUAGAAAGUGUCGGCGGUUGGGGAUGGACUCGCGGCUUAUCAGCUUGUUGGUGAAGUAGUGACUUACCAAGGCUUUGACGGGUAGCCGGCCUGAGAGGGUGACCGGCCACAUUGGGACUGAGAUACGGCCCAGAAUCCUACGUGAGGCAGCAGUGGGGAAUCUUGCACAAUGGGCGGACGCCUGAUGCAGCAACGCCGCGUGCGGGAUGACGGCCUUCGGGUUGUAAACCGCUUUCGCCUGUGACGAAGCGUGAGUGACGGUACUGGGUAAAGAAGCACCGGCUAACUACGUG
rnacentral:rRNA from 1 species